rnacentral:lncRNA from 1 species
AAGCACUAUUGCGCUUCUUCAUUUUUUUUUUUUUCUUCUCCAUUUCAAGCUAAGAGAAAGGAGGAAGAGAGGCAGAAAAGGAGUCAAAGAAGGACGGUGGAAAGGAGAGAGGAAGGAAAACGAAGGUUCCAGGAAAGACUCCAACCACCUGAGGAAGCGCUGGCUGCUCCCUCUCCUCCUUCCCAGAACACUGACUUCUCCAGUUCUCCCAGUGGCAUACCAACUUCUACCCUUUCUCUAUCCCAUUUUCAGAUUUCCAGUUCUUACAAAAUUUCUUUGAGGCUCACCCAAGCUUAAAGCUGAUGAACCACAGAACAGGUUGGAACCAGAGCUGUGUCUUAAAAAUAGGAAUCAUUUCUAAAUUAAUUGACUUGAAGUCAAUACUUUCCCACCAUGAAGCCUAUUACAAAAAUGAAUAAAACUAUAGAGUAAUGAAUUAAAGCUAAUUUU